GACGAAUUGAGUUAUGUUAAAGACGAAACUGUGAGUAGCGACAUGUUUCAGAGCAAUGAUUUAUUUAUUGUACAAAAUAAAAACGAUAUGAACAAAAUCAGUUUGAAACAGAACACACAAAGUAGUGGCAGUGGUAGCAGUGGUAGUAGUGGUAGCAGUAGUAGCAGUGGUAGUAGUGGCAGUAGUGGUAAUAAUAUAUGCUAUAUUCGUACGAAUAGUAUUGAGGAUAAAAAAACAAGUUGUAAUGAAAAUUGUAAUGAAAAUUGUAGUGAAAAUUUUAGUGAAAAUUGUAAUGAAAAUUGUGAAAAUUUUAGUGAAAAUUUUAGUGAAAAUUGUAAUGAAAAUUGUAAUAAUACGUAUGCUGAGGAAAAGGAAAGUUGUGAUGUGGAGCGGAUUGACAUUGCACAGGUUGGAAAGACACAAGUCGAAGUAACACAAACAAGAAGUAAAACAAGUAAUCCUAAAGAAGAAACACAUUAUGAUAUACAUUAUAUGAGUAAUAACUGUCGUAAUAAUAUCAAUUUAAAUGAUAAUGUCAUUACAAUGAGUAACAAAAACAAUGAAAUUUUGACGAUGUAUGCGGAUGCUGGUAUAAGUGGUGAUACAUGUGAUGAUAUAUAUAGUGGUCAGAUAUGUGACGAUAAUAUAAUGACAGGUACAAAUGAACAAUCACAUGAUAAACAAUUUUCUCUUGAAGAUUUUUCAAAUUUGUACAGUAAUAAAAAUAAAACAAGAUGUAUAAUACCAGGUAAUAAACAGUAUUUACACGAUAAUAGUAUUAAGAAUAGUGUGAUAUUUUGUAAAAAAAAAAAUGAUGGUUUAGGUUUAACUUUAAACACAAAUAUUGUUUAUGAUAAAAUGGACACAUUUAAUAACAAUAAACAAUAUUGUGAUGUAAUACAUAAUGAUAAUAAUAAAUUGGUACAUAUAAAUAAUUAUACUAAUCUAGUUAGUACAAGAGAAUGUUCGAAUGGUCAUAACAGUGAGAGACAAGGUAUGAAUGUUACAGUGAAUGAUAAUACAUGCAGCAGUAAUGGUAGUAGCAUUUGUGCUCGUAGUAACUGUGUUUGUAGUAACUGCAUCCGUAAGAAUAACCAGUUGUUAAAUAAGAGUGAAGAAUCAACAUGCACAAAUAUAAGGUACAGUAACUUGAAUAAGGCAUUUUCAACAAAUGCAAAAAUUAACAAUAAAAAUGAAUUAAAUUUAUCACAAGGUCAAGUAACUAAAAAUAGAGAGUACAUAAAAUCAACAAUAAAAGAUAUGACAGAAAUGAGAAUAAAUAAUAUAAUAAAUGAACAAACAGGUAUGCAUACAAAUACGAUUGUAAAAACGAAGGGGAAUACGAACAUACAUGAAAACGAAUAUACAAAUAUAAAUAAAAAAAUUAACAAUAAAAACAGUUACGAUAGUAGUUUUCUUACUAAGUUAGUAAACGAAAAUAAAAAUAAAAAACAUAAUAUAAAAAAGGGUUCUGUAAAGGAUAGUUUUUGUUUUAUCCCUAACAAUAAUGAAUAUGAUAAUAAAAGUGAUAGACAUGCAUGCAAUGAUAUUAUGCUAAACAAGUUAACAAGUAAAUUAUAUGAUGAAUACAUGAAUGAAUUUAAUUGUUUUAAAAAUAAAAAAGAACAAAAAGGGAUAAAAGGGAUAAAAGAAAUAAACGAAGUAAACGAAGUCAACGAAGUAAACGCAUUAAACGAAAUAAACGCAAUAAACGAAAUAAACGCAAUAAACGAAUUAAACGAAAUAAAAGAAUUAAACGAAAUAAACGAAAUAAAAGAAGAUGUGUAUUCAUAUGAAAAUUCUUCUAAAUGUUUAUUAUUAAAUAAUAAAAAUGUAUAUAAUAAAGGUGAUGGUUAUUUGAAUGGUAAUAAUAGAAGUGGAGAUGAUAGAAGUGACAGUAAUAAUGUUACUGUUGCUGUUACCGUUAACAGUGAUACAGGUACUGGUGUGGGCAAUAUUAUCGAACGUAAUAAAAUAAGUUGUGGUAAUUUUGUGAAUAAUAAAAUUAAACACGAUGUUCAUAAAGUUGUAAAUGCAAUAAAAUUACGAAACUUAGAGUUUAUGCAUAUAAAUGGUAAUACAAAAAAUGGGACAUAUAUAAGAACAGAAGAACCGCAUCAAAAAAAAAAUAAAAACGAAUUUUGCUUAAAUAAUGUAUAUAAUAAUAACAAUAAUUACAGUAAUAAUAACAAUAAUUACAGUAAUAAUUACAAUAACAACAAUAAUAAUU
ensembl:lncRNA